rnacentral:rRNA from 1 species
GACGAACGCUGGCGGCGUGCUUAACACAUGCAAGUCGAACGGAAAGGCCCUGCUUUUGUGGGGUGCUCGAGUGGCGAACGGGUGAGUAACACGUGAGUAACCUGCCCUUGACUUUGGGAUAACUUCAGGAAACUGGGGCUAAUACCGGAUAGGAGCUCCUGCUGCAUGGUGGGGGUUGGAAAGUUUCGGCGGUUGGGGAUGGACUCGCGGCUUAUCAGCUUGUUGGUGGGGUAGUGGCUUACCAAGGCUUUGACGGGUAGCCGGCCUGAGAGGGUGACCGGCCACAUUGGGACUGAGAUACGGCCCAGACUCCUACGGGAGGCAGCAGUGGGGAAUAUUGCACAAUGGGCGGAAGCCUGAUGCAGCAACGCCGCGUGCGGGAUGACGGCCUUCGGGUUGUAAACCGCUUUCGCCUGUGACGAAGCGUGAGUGACGGUAAUGGGUAAAGAAGCACCGGCUAACUACGUGCCAGCAGCCGCGGUGAUACGUAGGGUGCGAGCGUUGUCCGGAUUUAUUGGGCGUAAAGGGCUCGUAGGUGGUUGAUCGCGUCGGAAGUGUAAUCUUGGGGCUUAACCCUGAGCGUGCUUUCGAUACGGGUUGACUUGAGGAAGGUAGGGGAGAAUGGAAUUCCUGGUGGAGCGGUGGAAUGCGCAGAUAUCAGGAGGAACACCAGUGGCGAAGGCGGUUCUCUGGGCCUUUCCUGACGCUGAGGAGCGAAAGCGUGGGGAGCGAACAGGCUUAGAUACCCUGGUAGUCCACGCUGUAAACGGUGGGUACUAGGUGUGGGGUCCAUUCCACGGGUUCCGUGCCGUAGCUAACGCUUUAAGUACCCCGCCUGGGGAGUACGGCCGCAAGGCUAAAACUCAAAGGAAUUGACGGGGCCCCGCACAAGCGGCGGAGCAUGCGGAUUAAUUCGAUGCAACGCGUAGAACCUUACCUGGGUUUGACAUGGAUCGGGAGUGCUCAGAGAUGGGUGUGCCUCUUUUGGGGUCGGUUCACAGGUGGUGCAUGGCUGUCGUCAGCUCGUGUCGUGAGAUGUUGGGUUAAGUCCCGCAACGAGCGCAACCCUUGUUCACUGUUGCCAGCACGUUAUGGUGGGGACUCAGUGGAGACCGCCGGGGUCAACUCGGAGGAAGGUGGGGAUGACGUCAAGUCAUCAUGCCCCUUAUGUCCAGGGCUUCACGCAUGCUACAAUGGCUGGUACAGAGAGUGGCGAGCCUGUGAGGGUGAGCGGAUCUCGGAAAGCCGGUCUCAGUUCGGAUUGGGGUCUGCAACUCGACCUCAUGAAGUCGGAGUCGCUAGUAAUCGCAGAUCAGCAACGCUGCGGUGAAUAAGUUCCCGGG